AUUGAACGCUGGCGGCAUGCCUUACACAUGCAAGUCGAACGGCAGCGCGGACUUCGGUCUGGCGGCGAGUGGCGAACGGGUGAGUAAUACAUCGGAACGUACCCUGUUGUGGGGGAUAACUAGUCGAAAGAUUAGCUAAUACCGCAUACGACCUGAGGGUGAAAGUGGGGGACCGCAAGGCCUCACGCAGCAGGAGCGGCCGAUGUCUGAUUAGCUAGUUGGUGGGGUAAAGGCCCACCAAGGCGACGAUCAGUAGCUGGUCUGAGAGGACGAUCAGCCACACUGGGACUGAGACACUGCCCAGACUCCUACGGGAGGCAGCAGUGGGGAAUUUUGGACAAUGGGGGCAACCCUGAUCCAGCAAUGCCGCGUGUGUGAAGAAGGCCUUCGGGUUGUAAAGCACUUUUGUCCGGAAAGAAAUCGCGCUGGUUAAUACCUGGCGUGGAUGACGGUACCGGAAGAAUAAGCACCGGCUAACUACGUG
rnacentral:rRNA from 1 species